rnacentral:rRNA from 1 species
UACGAACCGGACAAACGUUAUUCGGAAUUAUUGGGCUUAAAGGGUGCGUAGGCGGCCGCGCAAGUCGGGUGUGAAAUCCCUCGGCUCAACCGAGGAAUUGCGCCCGAUACUGCGUGGCUAGAGGGAGACAGAGGCGAGCGGAACUGAUGGUGGAGCGGUGAAAUGCGUUGAUAUCAUCAGGAACACCGGUGGCGAAGGCGGCUCGCUGGGUCUCUUCUGACGCUCAGGCACGAAAGCUAGGGUAGCGAACAGG